CCUUAAAAAGAUUUACUUCAAAAUAUUGACAAGUGGAUUGCAGGCUUAGAUAAUUUUUGGAACACAACAUUGCUCCAAAAAAGUUUUUCUGAAGAAAAGGUAUCAAUCUGCAGUUUGGUAAGUGAGUCUGAAUCUGCAGCACCAAGGACUUCAAGAAUUAGUCUGAACCUGCACUUACAGUUCCAUGGGUCUUCUCAAUUCUUAAUAAUAUUAUAUUUUUAAUGAAUAAUUGAAUAUAUAUUGAGUCUGUGCCAUAGAUUCAGUCGCCUUAACACCCUUUGCUGUUUCCCACUUAAGUUAGUUAAUGAGAUGAAUGGAUGGAAAUUACGUAGUGAAUGUAUGAUAAGUCCAGGCUACAUGUUAAAAGACACACUUGGCUACUUGACCUCUGUAUUUCCAUGAAGAAAUCUUACUGACGGGUGCUUUCAUCUGCUAUUUGGAUCCGUUGCUGAUGGAUCUUACAAAGAAGUUGAGCUUUAAGAGGAACGUGGUGUCAUUGUCAUCAGAGCUCAAGGGUGUGAGGAGCAAGCUUGCUUCCUAGGAGCAGCUGUUUGUAAGGGAAUCUCAAACUGGAAAGCUUGCGGAGACAAAAACAAGGAGCAUGGAAGAGGAAGUAAUCAAGCUGCAUAAAUGCUUACAGGACAAGGAUGAACAACUGCAUUCAUUCACAAGUAGCACGGAACAGUACCAUCAUGAGUUGGAUGAUCUUAGAACACAUCUGUCAUUUACUCAAGCUACAGGAGAAGCAGGAACCCAACUGAACCUUCAACUUGCUUGUUCUGGGAGAUCUGUGAGCAAGCGAGUGCUCCUCAUAAUGGGUAUUCGACAUGAGCCCCAUCCCUGCCACAGACUUGGGAAAGGCACAAUGAUUUUUAUGGUGACAUGAAUACAUUCCUCUUCAAAUUAUAUCUUUAAGCAUCCAUUUUUCGCCCUACUGGUGCAAACAAGAAUUUGCAAUGGGUAGGUUACUGGCUGCACUUGUUUUUGAAUACUUGGAGUGACCACAACUAAGUCACACAAUGAAACUUUACUUUCCAGAGUGUAACCUGCCGGACUUCUGAUAGAAUGAACUGAAAGACUUCUCUAACAAAAGUGGAGCUGAGGGGAGCAAGAGUGCUGAAAGUGGUCCAAUGUUUUUAGAUGUUCUCGAAUGUUAUCUGAAAUAUGAGGUUUAUCUCUUGCUUGAUCAACAAUAGAAGCAAAAAAUCAUCCUUUUGUUUAUUUAUGUUUCCCAAUAUAAAGGAAAAGGGGAAAUAUUUUGGUGCAGUGUGCCCAAUUCUUUUGUCUCUAGAAAACUAUGUAGUCACCUAUAGCAGGCGCUAUAGUCAGUUUUAGCUAUUUUAGACACCACUACUAUUUGUA